rnacentral:rRNA from 1 species
AUGAACGCUGGCGGCGUGCCUCAUACCUGCAAGUCGAGCGCACAGAUAAGGAGCUUGCUCCUUUGACGUUAGCGGCGGACGGGUGAGUAACACGUGGGUAACCUACCUAUAAGACUGGGAUAACUUCGGGAAACCGGAGCUAAUACCGGAUAACAUUUGGAACCGCAUGGUUCUAAAGUGAAAGAUGGUUUUGCUAUCACUUAUAGAUGGACCCGCGCCGUAUUAGCUAGUUGGUAAGGUAACGGCUUACCAAGGCAACGAUACGUAGCCGACCUGAGAGGGUGAUCGGCCACACUGGAACUGAGACACGGUCCAGACUCCUACGGGAGGCAGCAGUAAGGAAUCUUCCGCAAUGGGCGAAAGCCUGACGGAGCAACGCCGCGUGAGUGAUGAAGGGUUUCGGCUCGUAAAACUCUGUUAUUAGGGAAGAACAAACGUGUAAGUAACUGUGCACGUCUUGACGGUACCUAAUCAGAAAGCCACGGCUAACUACGUG